GAUGAACGCUGGCGGCGUGCCUAAUACAUGCAAGUCGAGCGAAUGGAUUAAGAGCUUGCUCUUAUGAAGUUAGCGGCGGACGGGUGAGUAACACGUGGGUAACCUGCCCAUAAGACUGGGAUAACUCCGGGAAACCGGGGCUAAUACCGGAUAACAUUUUGAACCGCAUGGUUCGAAAUUGAAAGGCGGCUUCGGCUGUCACUUAUGGAUGGACCCGCAUCGCAUUAGCUAGUUGGUGAGGUAACGGCUCACCAAGGCAACGAUGCGUAGCCGACCUGAGAGGGUGAUCGUCCACACUGGGACUGAGACACGGCCCAGACUCCUACGGGAGGCAGCAGUAGGGAAUCUUCCGCAAUGGACGAAAGUCUGACGGAGCAACGCCGCGUGAGUGAUGAAGGCUUUCGGGUCGUAAAACUCUGUUGUUAGGGAAGAACAAGUGCUAGUUGAAUAAGCUGGCACCUUGACGGUACCUAACCAGAAAGCCACGGCUAACUACGUGCCAGCAGCCGCCGUAA
rnacentral:rRNA from 1 species